rnacentral:rRNA from 1 species
AGUCACUGACAUUAGAUACCCGGGUAGUCCAGGGUGUAAACGCUGCAGACUUGGUGUUGGAGGCCCUUUGGGGCAUUCAGUGCCGGAGAGAAGUUGUUAAGUCUGCUACUUGGGAGUACGUCCGCAAGGAUGAAACUUAAAGGAAUUGGCGGGGGAGCACCGCAACGGGAGGAGCGUGCGGUUUAAUUGGAUUCAACACCGUAAACUCACCAGGGAAGACUGUUACAUGAAGGCCGAGAUGAAGACUCUGCUAGAUUUUCAG